GGGCGCAUUCACGGGCGGCCGGCCGCACGGACGGCUGGCUGCUCGCUCGGCGGCGCGGGCUGGACCGGGGUGGGGAUUCCUGUCUGGGGCCCCUGGGGCUCCUUUAAGGGCUCCUGGGUAAAUUUAAAGGGGCCGCGCGCAAUUUCCUCCUGCCAGCUCGCGGGGGGCUGGCGCGGGGAAGGCGGGAGGUGGCGAGUCCGCAGUGGGCGCCAGUUACGGACGCGGGGAGCACGGACCUCGGCGCCCUCACGGGCCCGCCCCGCCGCGUCCGCAGCUGCAGCUGCAGCUCAGGCUUGCAAAGAGUCGCCGAGGUGACCAGGGGCGCCCUCGUCCAGUCGGCUACGACGCGCCUCAGCCACCGCCCCCUCGGGGCAUCUCUACGAGCAGCUCUCCGCAGCCGGCCAGCUGGGGACCUCCCGGUGCGCCGGCCCGGAUCCUUCCCCCAGCUUAGUCUUUGCAGCCAACCCAUGAACCCGGAGCUGGCUGUUAAAAUGAAAAAGCAGAGACUACCAAGAGAAGGCACCAGUCCAAGCCAGGAAUGAUGGCACACACCUUUAAUCCCGGCACUCAGGACGCAAAGAAGGAUCCGAAUGUCCUGUGUGAUUCUUGCUGGCGAGGCAAUAGCGCGGGACAUCUGGUGCCGAAACCCGGGAACUUGUUAACAUCGCCGGCACCGCGGAGACCCCUUGGCUACAAGGCGGAUUCAGAACUGCAAGGUGGUAAAUUCGGAGAGGAUGAAGAGAAUCCCCUCUGGAUCCCGGAAAGACUCACCCGAAGAGCCCCUUCGGACCUUCAAAAGUCGAAACUCCACCCUCUCCCCGGGAGUUGAGAGCCCCUAUUAUCCAGAUUAACUCCUGUCCUUGACGGAGAGAUUGUCAUCGCUUAAUGGGUGGGGAUGGGAUUGUUUGGUGCAGCCGUUUGCUGCGGAUUGGUGUUACUUCUCUGGCUGGUCUGUAGGCUCAAGGCUCAAACUAAGAGAGACAAGAUGGUUAUCGCCCAAGCGCUUGUAGCUUUAAAACAAGGGGCUUCCACUGAUAUUUGGCUAACUAUGCUUAAGCAAUAGGCCGCCGGCCAGACAGCUCUUGCACACCCGGAGCCUAGGCUCAUUGCACAGGGUAGAGUGUCUGGUUUGAGCAGCCCAUGAGGGAUGUUGAGCAAGGCAUCGCACAGAGAGUUGCCCAGUAUGCAGGCUUCUCUGGGAGGCAUGUUGUCCUGCAUAAGGGUUGCCUGCCCUAGUCUCCCUUUCCCAGAAAAAUGGCAGAGGACAGGUCGAGAGCACUUCGGGUCAAGCUAACAGCCUGAUGGCGACUCUUGUACACAGUCUUAAUGUUUGAUUGGGAAGGUACAACCUCUGCCUCUAUCCCUCAACAUAUGGGUGACCUAUUUGCUUGUAAAAAUAUAAAGCCUUAUCAUUAAUUAAUAAAAAAGGGGGAUAUGUAGGGAGCCGUCCCUGCAUUCUCCAUUACAAUGAUGGUGCCUGCAGGCACUGAAUGUAAAUUAUUUCGCAGGCGCUGGGUAAUUUUCCAUUUCUUUGAUCUCUGCCUAUCCCGUGGCUCAUAUGGCCUGAGGAGCUGAAGCCAUUCAUAGGGUGACACGUCCCAGGCGGGGCUGCCAGCCUUUAUUAGGGGACGGGAUUCUUGGCUCAGGGUCUCCGCUCUGGUAAGCCUAUGCUCUCCUCUCUCAAG
rnacentral:lncRNA from 1 species